AACGAACGCUGGCGGCAUGCCUAACACAUGCAAGUCGAACGAGACCUUCGGGUCUAGUGGCGCACGGGUGCGUAACGCGUGGGAACCUGCCCUUAGGUUCGGAAUAACUCCCCGAAAGGGGUGCUAAUACCGGAUAAUGUCUUCGGACCAAAGAUUUAUCGCCUUUGGAUGGGCCCGCGUUGGAUUAGCUAGUUGGUAGGGUAAAAGCCUACCAAGGCGACGAUCCAUAGCUGGUCUGAGAGGAUGAUCAGCCACACUGGGACUGAGACACGGCCCAGACUCCUGCGGGAGGCAGCAGUAGGGAAUAUUGGACAAUGGGCGAAAGCCUGAUCCAGCAAUGCCGCGUGAGUGAUGAAGGCCUUAGGGUUGUAAAGCUCUUUUGCCCGGGAUGAUAAUGACAGUACCGUGAGAAUAAGCUCCGGCUAACUCCGUG
rnacentral:rRNA from 1 species